rnacentral:rRNA from 1 species
UACGUAGGGGGCAAGCGUUAUCCGGAUUCACUGGGUGUAAAGGGAGCGUAGACGGCGACGCAAGUCUGGAGUGAAAGCCCGGGGCCCAACCCCGGGACUGCUCUGGAAACUGCGUCGCUGGAGUGCGGGAGGGGCAGGCGGAAUUCCUGGUGUAGCGGUGAAAUGCGUAGAUAUCAGGAGGAACACCGGCGGCGAAGGCGGCCUGCUGGACCGUGACUGACGUUGAGGCUCGAGAGCGUGGGGAGCAAACAGG